rnacentral:rRNA from 1 species
ACGGAAGGCAGCAGUGGGGAAUAUUGGACAAUGGGGGAAACCCUGAUCCAGCGACGCCGCGUGAGUGAAGAAGUAUUUCGGUAUGUAAAGCUCUAUCAGCAAGGAAGAAAAUGACGGUACUUGACUAAGAAGCUCCGGCUAAAUACGUGCCAGCAGCCGCGGUAAUACGCAUGGAGCAAGCGUUAUCCGGAUUUACUGGGUGUAAAGGGAGCGUAGACGGCAAAGCAAGUCCGAAGUGAAAUCCCGGGGCUCAACCCCGGAACUGCUUUGGAAACUGUUUAGCUAGAGUGCAGGAGAGGUAAGCGGAAUUCCUAGUGUAGCGGUGAAAUGCGUAGAUAUUAGGAGGAACACCAGUGGCGAAGGCGGCUUACUGGACUGUAACUGACGUUGAGGCUCGAAAGCGUGGGGAGCAAACAGGAUUAGAUACCCUGGUA